UACCUACGGGGGGCAGCAGUGGGGAAUAUUGCACAAUGGGGGGAACCCUGAUGCAGCGACGCCGCGUGGGUGAAGGAGUAUUUCGGUAUGUAAAGCCCUAUCAGCAGGGGAGCACAAUGACGGAACCUGACUAAGAAGCACCGGCUAAAUAAGUGCCAGCAGCCGCGGUAAUACGUAUGGUGCGAGCGUUAUCCGGAUUUACUGGGGGUAAAGGGAGCGCAGGCGUCGCGUUAAGCCUGGUGUGAAAGUCCGCGACCCCACCGCGGGCCUG
rnacentral:rRNA from 1 species